rnacentral:rRNA from 1 species
CACGUAGGGUGCGAGCGUUGUCCGGAAUUAUUGGGCGUAAAGAGCUCGUAGGCGGUGUGUCGCGUCGGCCGUGAAAACCUGCAGCUUAACUGUGGGCUUGCGGUCGAUACGGGCAUCACUGGAGUUCGGCAGGGGAGACUGGAAUUCCUGGUGUAGCGGUGAAAUGCGCAGAUAUCAGGAGGAACACCGGUGGCGAAGGCGGGUCUCUGGGCCGAUGACUGACGCUGAGGAGCGAAAGUGCGGUGGGAGCGAACAGG